GUAGUAGUAGUCGUUAUCAUAAUCACCAAAGUGAACUAAAAACCUUGAGGAGAACAGUAACACCUUUAAUCAUUGAUAACUUUAGGGAGGAAUUAUUGUGCCAGAACUGGGACGAGGUGUAUGUUGAUGAUGUUGAUGAAUCUUAUAAUGCUUUUAUUUCAACUGUCUCCAGGUUAUAUGGACAAACAUUGUCCUCUUGUUAACAAAAGGCACAGAAAUCGAUAUUGUCACAAACCAUGGA